rnacentral:rRNA from 1 species
GCAUAAUAAUCUGUAUUUUAAUUGGAUACCGGAAUGAAAGGAGUGACGAAAUUUGAGCUGUCUACUAGUAAUUGAUUAAAAAUUAAUCUUCAGGUGAAGAGGCCUGAAUAUUUAUGAAAGACAAGAAGACCCUGUCGAGCUGACCUUAAUUUAAAUAAAAGGUUAAUUGGGGCGAUUAGAGAGUUAAUUAUCCUCUCUAUAAUUAAGAGGUACUCUUUUAGAAGAUCCGAGGUUAUCGAAUAAAGAUAAGUUACCGCAGGGAUAACAGGCUAAUCUUUUUUGAAAGUACAAAUUGACAAAAGGGGUUGGCACCUCGAUGUUGGCUUAAGGACCUAAUUCGGUGUAGAAAUUGAAAUUAGUGGUUUGUUCAACCUUUAAAUCCU